CUUUCUCUCACUUCAAUUCCAUUGUAUUGGUAGCUUAUUUCUCCCAACUACGUUGGUUAAAACAUUAGGAAAAUCUGGACUUGAACCCUUCUUUUAGCCACUUACAGCAGCAAAUUAAUCAUGUCUUUUACUCGAUCUGGGCAGAGGAUCAAGUGGCUAUAGAGAAGAUGGAGGAGGAGCAGAUGGAUGCCGCAUAUUCUCAGCAUGAAAGCAUACAACUUCCGGAUAGAUCUGUAUCAUUUCGUUUGAGUACCGUUGUUGGGGCUAAAGGAGCUGUGGUGGAUCCGUGCUCUUUGUAGCUAGCAUGCCUCUGGUGAUUUUAUAUACUCACAUGGUGUUCCUCAGACCAUAUGUGAUUACUGAUACAUUUCCACCGCGGCUGUAUAAGUAAAGAAAAUUUCGGUCAGCAUGAUGAAUUAAUUGAAUUGUCACCGAAUGGAGUCUUGUGGUUCUUCAAAAUCAACCAGGUCUAUUCUCGCAGUCAACAAAAUAGUUCCUCUUAGAUUGUUGUCUGUCAUUGUAGGUUGUUUGUAAGUUUCAUGCAUUGCCACCUCCUUUGGUUGCCUGCCUUUUCUUUUAAAAUAAAUCUGUUUGAUCAUUAAGUUUAUAAUUAUAAUUACUUCUGAAAUUAUAUAAUUUCAGUAUAUCUACCUGGUAUAGUUAGCUAAUGUCUUCCUUCAAAGUAAGUUAAACACAUCGUGUUCUGAGUUCUGCUAAUUGGUACUGAUAGUGGGAUAUAUGGAUGGAUAUGGAUAUGCAAAAAAGUUGUCACUAUCUCCUCCCUGUAUGCAGAUAUAUAACAAGAUAGGCAGCAAUGUGACGUGAGAAAACAAGAGAGGCAGCGAUGGGGCGUGCAUGGGAUGUGAAUUACAAGAGGUUUAUUGUGACUUCGAUGCCUCUUACUGAAUUUGGAUGGCACACUUUGGUGGCUCCCAGAUUUCCUUCAAAGCAUUAAGUUGAUGAAACCAGUUCUGUUUCGUGAGCAGCCUCUCUCUCCCUCUCUCCCUCUCUCUCUGGGUCGGUUGUUUGACCAGUGCUGUCUUCUUAUGAUUCUCCCUGAACACAUGUUUGUUGUGUUACGAGUUCGAGUGUGUGAAUCGUCUAUUUUCUGAAGGUGAUAUUUCCAAGACUGUGGUCUAUUUUUUCUGACACUUUAGAGUGUUACCUGAGAAACUAUCCAAGAUAUUAUAUUUGCUCUAAACAGGGAUGAACUGAAAUGCACAAUUAUCAAUAUAUGUGCUUCUGCAGUUCUGUGGUCUAUUUGGAAGCUGCUUAACAAUCUCCGUUUUCAGGGAAAACAAUGAAGAAGUUUGACCUGCAUUUGGGAUGCAGCGAUCUGUUAGGCAACUAUGGUCAGCUACUCACGACUACAGGAUUAUGGGCACUGCUAUAUGGCUGACUUGGAGCAUGUUUGUGAGUUUACCCCUUCUAAUGUACGUGCUCAAUUUUGGAUGUAUCGGUACAAGGAGACAUAGCUCCAGCUCCUGAACAUUUUACUCUAAAAGACUUAAGCUUUCAUCGCUGCUAUACAUGGUAGCAGUGAACUGUACAUAGUAUGGCAGUGUCUAUUGCCACUAGAACCGAUGUUGUAUACCAGUUUAAUCUUUUCUCUCUGUUCAA